GACGAACGCUGGCGGCGUGCCUAAUACAUGCAAGUCGAGCGGAACUGGGGGAGCUUGCUCCUUCCAGUUUAGCGGCGGACGGGUGAGUAACACGUGGGCAACCUGCCCUGCAGAUCGGGAUAACUCCGGGAAACCGGUGCUAAUACCGAAUAGUUUGGCGCCUCUCCUGAGGCGCUACGGAAAGACGGUUUCGGCUGUCACUGCAGGAUGGGCCCGCGGCGCAUUAGCUAGUUGGUGGGGUAACGGCCCACCAAGGCGACGAUGCGUAGCCGACCUGAGAGGGUGACCGGCCACACUGGGACUGAGACACGGCCCAGACUCCUACGGGAGGCAGCAGUAGGGAAUCUUCCGCAAUGGACGCAAGUCUGACGGAGCAACGCCGCGUGAGUGACGAAGGUUUUCGGAUCGUAAAACUCUGUUGUGAGGGAAGAACACGUACCAACUAACUAUUGGUACCUUGACGGUACCUGCAGAAAAAGCGCCGGCUAACUACGUGCCAGCAGCCGCGGUAA
rnacentral:rRNA from 1 species